AUAUUGUACCUUUUGUCUAUGAUUGUUGUUAAGUUUUAAAUAUUUGGCGGAGAGAAUGUUUGUGUCGUUUUGUAAUUGACUGGUGCUAAGAAAAUUAGCUGACAUUUUAUUAAAAUAUAACGAACAUUGUUCCGACUAAAUUCAAAAUUUUUCCCUCAAAAUUCAAAUUAAUACAUAUUCACAUUAUGUCUACAGAAGUGAAACCUUGUUUUUGCUCAUACCAGUUGAUUGGUGACAGUUUGUUGCUGAGAUUUGCGGAACAGCUUCUUGAAGAGCGGGCUCAAUACUCCUCAGGACUCAGAUUUUUGGGACUUUGUGUCAGUGGGCAGACUAUUAAACAGUUGAAGAAAAGAAUUAAGGAAGGAUUCUAUCCUGUCUCAAGCAAUGCAGUGCUUUUAAUUGGCACUAAUGACUUUUUGAAGAAAACCCCUCUCAAAGAUAUGACAAGAAGAAUGAUGAAAAUUGUGACCCUGUUGAAGAAACGUGCAAAAAGGAUUGUGGUUCUGACCGUGCCUCCUGUUCCAAGAUUGGCUCACAAGCCAGAUCAUUGGAAGGAUUUGGAAAACUUCAACAAUUUUAUUAUGUCUCUUCCAAGAAAAAAUGAGUGUGUGAAGGUGGCUGACAUCAGUUCUUUGUUCAAGAGAAACAUGGUAUGCAAAUUACAGUUUUUCGAGAAGUACUUCAGCAUCGGCAGAAGGAAAGACAUGAUUCAUUUAAACAGAGAGGGCUUGGAAGAGAUAAAAAAAUUUCUUGUUGACAAGAAAUUGGUGUGAUGAAAUAUUAACCGUACCUUUUCCGAACUACACUAAAUGUUUUGACUGACAUGCAUUGUAAGGCAUGCAUAUGACUAACUUUGUGCCUUAUUAUUUAAUGUUGAAUGUACUAACAAACUGGUACAUACCAUGUGAAGUGUUUCAUGUUAUAGCAAUUCAUGUAUUUAUUAUUUAUGCAUUUAUUAAAUAUACAGAAUUCAUUGUAUUUUUA